AUGAUGGACCUCAAGAGUGUGUAUCACAGUAUGAUCUUUAGGACAGUUUAUGCAUGGAUUCAUGAGAGAGGGAGUGCAGCACCCGAGCUUCACUGCUCUCUAUAUUUAAAAAUUUUGAAAUUCGUGUUUUGGAAGUUUCAAAAAUAUGACAAUUUUCCUGGGGAUACAUAUACACAUUCUGAAUACCCGUGGCAAAGUUUUGGUAGAAAUCUCACUUUGUUUUGGGCUAUAGAAAAAAAAAUUCUGACAAUGUAUAAGAAAAGGGGUGCCAUUUUUGUCAGGAAUUUCUCUUUUUUGUAUUUCUCAAAAUACAAAGUAUUUCUCUUUAAGAUUUUUACCGGGCCUUAG
rnacentral:rRNA from 1 species